UACACUCCUGCGGGAGGCAGCAGUGGGGAAUUUUGGACAAUGGGCGAAAGCCUGAUCCAGCAAUGCCGCGUGAGUGAAGAAGGCCUUCGGGUUGUAAAGCUCUUUUGUCAGGGAAGAAACGGUGAGAGCUAAUAUCUUUUGCUAAUGACGGUACCUGAAGAAUAAGCACCGGCUAACUACGUGCCAGCAGCCGCGGUAAUACGUAGGGUGCAAGCGUUAAUCGGAAUUACUGGGCGUAAAGCGUGCGCAGGCGGUUUUGUAAGUCUGAUGUGAAAUCCCCGGGCUCAACCUGGGAAUUGCAUUGGAGACUGCAAGGCUAGAAUCUGGCAGAGGGGGGUAGAAUUCCACGUGUAGCAGUGAAAUGCGUAGAUAUGUGGAGGAACACCGAUGGCGAAGGCAGCCCCCUGGGUCAAGAUUGACGCUCAUGCACGAAAGCGUGGGGAGCAAACAGGAUUAGAAACCCCGGUAGUCCC
rnacentral:rRNA from 1 species